AUGGCUGUCGUCAGCUCGUGCUGUGAGGUGUUCGGUUAAGUCCGGCAACGAGCGCAACCCCUGUCCUUAGUUGCUACCACGUCAUGGUGGGCACUCUAGGGAGACUGCCGGCGCAAAGCCGCGAGGAAGGUGGGGAUGACGUCAAGUCCUCAUGGCCCUUAUGCCUAGGGCUACACACGUGCUACAAUGGUCGGUCCAACGAGCAGCCACCUCGCGAGAGGGAGCAAAUCUCUGAAAGCCGGUCCCAGUUCGGAUUGGAGUCUGCAACUCGACUCCAUGAAGCAGGAAUCGCUAGUAAUCGCGGAUCAGCAAUGCCGCGGUGAAUCCGUUCCCGGGCCUUGUACACA
rnacentral:rRNA from 1 species